AUCACAUAAUUUCUUCGACCCGAAGGCCCUAAAGCGCGCUACGCCAUGGGCUCAGGGCGGCCUGAAUUUAAUAUUUCAGGCGAGGGCUUUUCCGGAAACAGAUCAUGCCUCCCGUGUUUGGAAAGAAGAAAAAACGCGCGCCCG
rnacentral:ncRNA from 2 species